GGGAUAACUUCGGGAAACCGGAGCUAAUACCGGAUAAUCCAUUUUACUUCAUGGUGAAAUGUUGAAAGGCGCUUUCGCGCCACUGCAGGAUGGGCCCGCGGUGCAUUAGCUAGUUGGUGGGGUAACGGCCUACCAAGGCGACGAUGCAUAGCCGACCUGAGAGGGUGAUCGGCCACAUUGGGACUGAGACACGGCCCAAACUCCUACGGGAGGCAGCAGUAGGGAAUCUUCCACAAUGGACGAAAGUCUGAUGGAGCAACGCCGCGUGAGUGAUGAAGGUUUUCGGAUCGUAAAACUCUGUUGUAAGGGAAGAACAAGUACGUUAGGAAAUGAACGUACCUUGACGGUACCUUAUUAGAAAGCCACGGCUAACUACGUGCCAGCAGCCGCGGUAAUACGUAGGUGGCAAGCGUUGUCCGGGAUUUAUUGGGCGUAAAGCGCGCGCAGGUGGUUUCUUAAGUCUGAUGUGAAAUCUCGCGGCUCAACCGCGAGCGGUCAUUGGAAACUGGGGAACUUGAGUGCAGAAGAGGAUAGUGGAAUUCCAAGUGUAGCGGUGAAAUGCGUAGAGAUUUGGAGGAACACCAGUGGCGAAGGCGACUGUCUGGUCUGUAACUGACACUGAGGCGCGAAGCGUGGGGAGCAAACAGGAUUAGAUACCCUGGUAGUCCACGCCGUAAACGAUGAGUGCUAAGUGUUAGGGGGUUUCCGCCCCUUAGUGCUGCAGCUAACGCAUUAAGCACUCCGCCUGGGGAGUACGACCGCAAGGUUGAAACUCAAAGGAAUUGACGGGGGCCCGCACAGCGGUGGAGCAUGUGGUUUAAUUCGAAGCAACGCGAAGAACCUUACCAGGUCUUGACAUCCCAGUGACCGCUCUAGAGAUAGAGUUUUCCCUUCGGGGACAUUGGUGACAGGUGGUGCAUGGUUGUCGUCAGCUCGUGUCGUGAGAUGUUGGGUUAAGUCCCGCAACGAGCGCAACCCUUGAUCUUAGUUGCCAUCAUUUAGUUGGGCACUCUAAGGUGACUGCCGGUGACAAACCGGAGGAAGGUGGGGAUGACGUCAAAUCAUCAUGCCCCUUAUGACCUGGGCUACACACGUGCUACAAUGGACGGUACAAAGAGUCGCAAACUCGCGAGAGCAAGCUAAUC
rnacentral:rRNA from 1 species